rnacentral:rRNA from 1 species
GGGGAAUUUUCCGCAAUGGGCGAAAGCCUGACGGAGCAAUACCGCGUGAGGGAUGAAAGCCUGUGGGUUGUAAACCUCUUUUCUCAAGGAAGAAGUUCUGACGGUACUUGAGGAAUAAGCAUCGGCUAACUCUGUGCCAGCAGCCGCGGUAAUACAGAGGAUGCAAGCGUUAUCCGGAAUCACUGGGCAUAAAGCGUCUGUAGGUGGUUUGAUAAGUCUGCUGUUAAAGACUAGGGCUUAACCCUAGGAAAGCAGUGGAAACUGUUAGACUUGAGUAUGGUAGAGGUAGAGGGAAUUCCUAGUGUAGCGGUGAAAUGCGUAGAUAUUAGGAAGAACACCAAUGGCGAAAGCACUCUGCUGGGCCACAACUGACACUGAGAGACGACAGCUAGGGGAGCAAAUGGGAUUAGAUACCCCAGUAGUC